rnacentral:rRNA from 1 species
GAUUUGAGGGAACCAGAUGAAUAUGCACCGCAAACUCCGUGCCAGCGGCCGGGGAAUACGGAGGGUGCAAGCGUUGUCCGGAUUUAUUGGGUUUAAAGGGUGCGGUAGCGGGCCCGUUAAGUCAGUGGUGAAAGCCCAUCGCUCAACGAUGGAACUGCCAUUGAUACUGCCGGGCUUGAGUACGGAUGAGGUAGGCGGGAAUUGAUGGUGUAGCGGUGAAAUGCAUAGAUACUAUCAAGAACACCCGAUUGCGUAGGCAGCUUACUAGGC